rnacentral:rRNA from 1 species
CCUACGGGAGGCAGCAGUGGGGAAUUUUGGACAAUGGGCGCAAGCCUGAUCCAGCCAUGCCGCGUGCGGGAAGAAGGCCUUCGGGUUGUAAACCGCUUUUGUCAGGGAAGAAAUCCUUUGGGUUAAUACCUCGGAGGGAUGACGGUACCUGAAGAAUAAGCACCGGCUAACUACGUGCCAGCAGCCGCGGUAAUACGUAGGGUGCGAGCGUUAAUCGGAAUUACUGGGCGUAAAGCGUGCGCAGGCGGUUAUGCAAGACAGAUGUGAAAUCCCCGGGCUCAACCUGGGAACUGCAUUUGUGACUGCAUAGCUAGAGUACGGUAGAGGGGGAUGGAAUUCCGCGUGUAGCAGUGAAAUGCGUAGAUAUGCGGAGGAACACCGAUGGCGAAGGCAAUCCCCUGGACCUGUACUGACGCUCAUGCACGAAAGCGUGGGGAGCAAACAGGAUUAGAUACCCUGGUAGUCCACGCCCUAAACGAUGUCAACUGGUUGUUGGACGGCUUGCUGUUCAGUAACGAAGCUAACGCGNGAGUGACGCGNGGNGCGCGCGAGUAGAGANANAGAGUGAGNGNGAGAGNGCGAGACGACGACGAGGGAGGAGG